CGGGAAGCGAGCGUACACAGGUGCUGCAUGGCUGUCGUCAGCUCGUGUCGUGAGAUGUUGGGUUAAGUCCCGCAACGAGCGCAACCCUUGCCUUUAGUUGCCAGCAGUUCGGCUGGGCACUCUAAAGGGACUGCCGGUGUUAAACCGGAGGAAGGUGGGGAUGACGUCAAGUCCUCAUGGCCUUUAUGGCCAGGGCUACACACGUACUACAAUGGCCGAUACAAAGGGCAGCGACACUGCGAGGUGAAGCCAAUCCCGUAAAAUCGGUCUCAGUCCGGAUUGGAGUCUGCAACUCGACUCCAUGAAGUUGGAAUCGCUAGUAAUCGUGGAUCAGCAUGCCACGGUGAAUACGUUCCCGGGCCUU
rnacentral:rRNA from 1 species